AUCACUAAUUUCUUCCAAGUGCUACUGAAGCUACUCUUCUCCUCCUUGUCUGAACUUCUGAGAGUCUAGAUCAUUGAUGAGAUUAGAAGCUCAAUUUCCGCUUGCUACCACUCAUAUGUACCAGUGCAUCUUACUACACGGUCCAUACCUAUACAAAUGCAUCAAUCUAGUGGCCAUUGCUGUUGUUGUAUUUGCUGAGAGGGUUGACUUCAUUUCUUUCCAUCUA
rnacentral:lncRNA from 1 species